UGGCCUUGACAUCCACGGAAUCCUUCAGAGAUGAGGGAGUGCCUUCGGGAACCGUGAGACAGGUGCUGCAUGGCUGUCGUCAGCUCGUGUCGUGAGAUGUUGGGUUAAGUCCCGCAACGAGCGCAACCCUUGUCCCUAGUUGCCAGCACGUAAUGGUGGGAACUCUAGGGAGACCGCCGGUGACAAACCGGAGGAAGGUGGGGAUGACGUAGCUAAGCCUUC
rnacentral:misc_RNA from 1 species